GAUCCCUUGCUUCGCGCGCGAGUUUCCCGAUAGGGUUUUUUUUUUGCGGAGUUUGUGUCUUUUUAGCUUUGGGUUCGAUGUUUUUGUUCGAUUAAUCGUUUUGUAGGGAUAAAAAAAAGCCUCAUAACAUUAGGAACGGGAAAAAAAAUUGCUAACCGAAAUGAAUCCACCCAAAAAAUUUAAAACCUACGCGCGAGUUUGACUCGAAAGUAUGGGGUGUGACAACUUUCUUUAUUGACACGACAGCAAUGUUGGGUCAUGUAUGUUGACAUAUUGAUUCUUGAAUGUGGAGGGAACCCUUAUGAUGCAGUGUCAUUGGCUGAGAAAUCGGCUCUUUUUUUGCAACACAAAUUCCAUCUAUUAAAAUAGCAACCAUGGACGGAUAUCAACCUGAUGUGGAGCUCUCAGAUGAUCUUUAUGAUACCAAGAGACUAAACACAGAGAACAUUCCUUGUGUACUGACUUUGAUGCAGAUUGGAAACCAUUUAGUAGUUCCAACACCAAAAGAAAAAUGCUGCAGCUUUUCUGGUAUUAAAAUGAUUAUACUGCUGUUAGGGAAAUUGACAGUUGUAAGACAUAUAAGCUAUGAUAUUCUUAAAGAUGGAACUUUUAGAGAAAUAACAUUUAAGCGAUGAUAUAAAUCUUCCAAGUUCCAAGAGUUCACCUUUACUUAUCUCUUCGUAACCUAGGUUGACUAUAUAAUUUCUUUACCAUCGCCCCUUGUCUGAAUUAAAGUGCUUUUGGUAUGAAAAAGAAACGGCAAAUAAAGCGGCAAUUCAAGCAUUUA